rnacentral:lncRNA from 1 species
UGGACGUUGUCUUGCAGGUGUUCGUUUCCAACAACAGGCGACGGAGAGGUGGCCGCAAUAGGCAAUAUAGAAGCACCAAAAUGCAAGUGAGCAGCCUUAUAUCUACAUCUACUAGAAGUUUGUCCCAAACAAAAUGGAGUCAUAGAACAACUCAAAAAGUGAAAAGAGGUGGUAAUGAUAAAAUACCCCUGACAACGCCCAAUUCCUUCUCGACCUUGGCCUUCUUCUCUUUGAGGAUGUGGGCCUUUUUAUUGAGCUCCCUAAGCCUCUUCGCAACAUUCUCUAAGAUCUACAAUAUAUUGCACCAAUCUAGUCUAUUAAAAAGGAA